CGGGGUGAGUAAUGUCUGGGAAACUGCCUGAUGGAGGGGGAUAACUACUGGAAACGGUAGCUGAUACCGCAUAACGUCGCAAGACCAAAGAGGGGACCUUCGGGCCUCUUGCCAUCGGAUGUGCCCAGAUGGGAUUAGCUAGUAGGUGGGGUAACGGCUCACCUAGGCGACGAUCCCUAGCUGGUCUGAGAGGAUGACCAGCCACACUGGAACUGAGACACGGUCCAG
rnacentral:rRNA from 1 species